rnacentral:tRNA from 1 species
GGCCCGUUGGUGCAACCAGGAAGCGCGCCGCUAGACUCCACCAUGGGGAGUGCGGGGAUGCAGGUUCAAAUCCUGUACGGGUCA